CCCUUAGAUGUUCUGGGCCGCACGCGUGCUACACUGAGCGGAUCAGCGGGUCAGGUUGCGCGAAAGCGUUUCCUAAUCUUGAAAUCCGCUCGUGAUGGGGAUUGACGGUUGCAAUUUUCUGUCAUGAACGAGGAAUACCUUGUAAGCGCGAGUCAUCAUCCCGCGCUGAAUACGUCCCUGCCCUUUGUACACACCGCCCGUCGCUACUACCGAUUGAAUGGUUUAGUGAGAUCUUCGGAUUGGCGCCACUGCAGCUCAGCAAUGGGCUUGGUGGAUGCCGAAAAGUUGAUCGAACUUGAUCAUUUAGAGGAAGUAAAAGUCGUAACA
rnacentral:rRNA from 1 species